GUAGGGAAUAUUGGGCAAUGGGCGCAAGCCUGACCCAGCGACGCCGCGUGGGUGAUGAAGGUCUUUGGAUUGUAAAACCCUGUCAGUGGGGAAGAACCGCAUAAGGAGUCACUGCCUUAUGCCUGACGGUACCCACAGAGGAAGCUCCGGCUAACUCCGUGCCAGCAGCCGCGGUAAUACGGGGGGAGCGAGCGUUGUUCGGAUUCACUGGGCGUAAAGGGCGCGUAGGUGGGUCUAUAAGUCAAAUGUGAAACCCAACGGCUCAACCGUUGGCCUGCAUUUGAGACUGUAGAUCUUGAGUACGGGAGAGGAAAGUGGAAUUCCUGGUGUAGCGGUGAAAUGCGUAGAUAUCAGGAGGAACACCGGUGGCGAAGGCGGCUUUCUGGCCCGAUACUGACACUGAGGCGCGAAGGCCGGGGGAGCAAACAGGAUUAGAAACCCGAGUAGUCC
rnacentral:rRNA from 1 species